CCAGAGUUGCACCUGGAUUUUGUUUCAGAAGGAAUUCAUCAGCUCACUCCAAAAGACAGCCUGUCAUUUCUCCCACACGUUGGAGGCCAGCAUCCUUCCCUUACCACUGACAGGUUCAGAGGCCUUACAAGGAGUAACCAAAGCCUGCUGGACUUACCACAUCCUUAGAAGAACAUCGUCACUGGAUAUAACCAAAAACUGCUCUUGAAAAGAGGGGAAAGGAGAGGAGCAAAAUGGAAGAGUGAAGAAAGAAGACUUGGGCUGGAGAAUGUGAUCAGUGAUUUACAUUAAAGAUGCUAAUGGGAAGAGAAGAGAGCUAGACCGCUCACUAAUGUUGGAGCAAAAGAACUUUUGAUUUCAAAAUGGCUGACUACACAUAAAACUAAUUAGCUAAAUUCAAACAAAGGAAUACACUAUGCCUCCAGGAUAAACUGAGCAAACUCAUGUGGCAAAGUGCAAGGUAGUGUGGGAUUUUGAGCAUAUUUUUGCAGUAGGCCCUUUGAAGUCUCUCAGCUAAAGCUCAAAAUCAUACAGGAUUUCAUCAGAACUACUGUACACUUCAUUUGCUCAACAGUGCAUUUGUGCAUAUAUAUUUGGGGGCAGGUUUCCAAACAUUUAAUGUCUCUUUCCUUCCUUUGGGAAAGGAUAAUUUCGGUCAUUGGUCUCUAAAGAACUUUUUCCAACAACGGUUUUGAUUUGCUCAAGGAAAGGGAAUGGGAAUUCUAUUAGAAGCAAAUGCAUAGCAGAGACAUCUACUACCGCCCUUUAACUGCUUGAGACUUUGCUCUUGUGUGUUUUAUUCACCUCAUAAAAAAAGCUUAGAACCUUGUAAAAAAUAUAUAUCACAGAAAAGAUGUGAGACUUAGCACAAAUAUAUACCACACACAUAGGGUGGUCUUUUCUUUGCAUGUAUUCAGUAAACUUUGUUGUUGUUGUUGUUUUUGUGAACUUCCCAUUGUUUCCUCAUAUUCAAAUUUGAUUUAGCUUGGACCAUGUCACCUCCGUUGUUGUAGGUUUUCUCUGUCUUUACAAAUUUGUAGCUACCCAAUAAAGAAAAGAGAGCAAAAGAUAGA